UUUUGUUUUUUGUUUUUCGUUUGGUUUUGUUCUCUCUUCGAUCCACGCUUUUUUUUUUUUAUUUAUAUUUUUUCAGAAGAAGUGAACACAAAAAAUAAAAAUGAGACAUCUGGAUGAUGCACACAAAAAACAAAAGA
rnacentral:ribozyme from 1 species